UCUGGCCACUGACAGACGACAUGCGAUUAUUAUUUUUCGAGUUAUUGGUUUUGGCUGCCGUCGCUGUCUAUCUACCCAGUGCAGCGGCGGGCCCACACCGACAAACUCACAAAAUAACCACAAUAAAGAAAUUAAGGAGUAAACAAGAUGGAUAUCAUGAUCUACACAGCCAUGAGCACGUUAAAGAGAAGAGGAUUGUGCAUGUUGACCACGAAGAACAUAGAAAUCAGCAUUCAGAAAGACGACAGG